rnacentral:rRNA from 1 species
UACGUAGGGUGCGAGCGUUAAUCGGAAUUACUGGGCGUAAAGCGCGCGUAGGCGGUUUUGCAAGUCGGGUGUGAAAUCCCCAGGCUUAACCUGGGAACUGCAUUCGAGACUGCAUUACUAGAGUAUGGGAGAGGGAAGUGGAAUUUCCGGUGUAGCGGUGAAAUGCGUAGAGAUGUGGAGGAACACCAAUGGCGAAGGCAGCCUUCUGGGCCAACACUGACGCUCAUGCACGAAAGCGUGGGGAGCAAACAGG